AUGAGUAAUGAUGUAAUCUCUAUUUGCUCCUGGAAAGUAUGUGGCCUAGGUGAUGAUGACAAGUGUAACGUUGUCCUUUGUGAACUGUUGGCGAUCAACCCUCACGUUGCUCUCUUGCAAGAAUCCAAACUACAAUCCUGGACCAACACCAAGCUCCACUCAUUUCUCCCCUAUCACCUCGACCAAGCUUUCUCUCUGCCCACCAUUGGCACGGCUGGCGGCACCAUAACCGCCGUCAACUCCUCCUCUCUCCAAGUCAUCCUACAUUCGCAUGAACUCUUCUCCUCCACCAUAACUCUAAGAUCAACUGCAUGUGCCCCCAACAUCGCCAUCACCAACAUCUACGCUCCCUCUACACGUGCCCUCAAACAAUCUUUCUUCGAUGAGCUCCUCUCCAUUGCGCAACCUGACCACGUGCCUUGGCUUAUCAUCGGCGAUUUCAACCUCCUUCGCUUCCCCUCAGACAAAAACAACUCCUUCUUUCGACAAUCAGAAGCCAACGCCUUUAACCACGUUAUCGACACCUUAGCUCUCAUCGAACUGCCUCUCCUCGACCGAUAAUUUGCUUGGACCAACAACCGCUCCUCGCCCACUUUGGAAAGGAUCGAUCGGGCCUUUUUCAACUUAGCUUGGGUAGAUGCUUUCCCCAACACCUCACUGUCCUCUCUCACAUGUUUUACCUCCGACCACGUACCACUGCUUGUG
rnacentral:rRNA from 1 species